GCCAUUUUGAAUUUUGGACGCCAUUUUGGACGUCAGGCCAGGACGUCCUUGUGCUUCAAAAGAGGAAAGGUGCUUGGACAGCAUGAUACCAAGUCGAUGAUUAGGUCAGGAAUCACGUUAGCCAGGGGUCUAGUGGCACUCAGACUGAACGGGAGGCGGAAGAGACCAGCUUGGCUGGCUGAGAGCAGCCCCUCAAUGGGCAGGACUCAACUACCUACUAAACAGACAGAAAGUGAUUAGAUGAAUUCACCUGAAGGUGACAAACCAGUGGACUGACCCCUGUGAGCCACAGGAAAUGCAUGAGCCGUGGAGAACGUCUUGGCUCCCGAUCUCACUGGGAGUUGAGACGCCUGUGUCCCCCUGAAGGGGUUGGGAAGACAGUGAGGUCCUUCAGGAUGACUUCUGCCAUCAAGAAAGGAUGGUGCUUCGAGGGCCUGCCUCUGUGAACACCAGCAGACCUGGAGCCCUGAGGAGCGACUCAGGGGGCAAUUACAUCAGCACAGGACGCCUUUGUUUUGAGCUGAGGCUGGUUUUCCCACAAGCGACUGAAAUAAAUUAGAGCGUUUUCAACGAGGGCGGUUGAAAGCGGCACUCUUGGAAAAAUCUCA